rnacentral:rRNA from 1 species
UGGGGAAUAUUGCACAAUGGGCGCAAGCCUGAUGCAGCAACGCCGCGUGAGGGACGACGGCCUUCGGGUUGUAAACCUCUUUUGGCAGGGAAGAAGCGAAAGUGACGGUACCUGCAGAAAAAGCACCGGCUAAAUACGUGCCAGCAGCCGCGGUGAUACGUAGGGUGCAAGCGUUGUCCGGAAUUAUUGGGCGUAAAGAGCUCGUAGGGGGUUUGUCGCGUCUGCUGUGAAAACCCGAGGCUCAACCUCGGGCCUGCAGUGGGUACGGGCAAACUAGAGUGCGGUAGGGGAGAUUGGAAUUCCU